AAGUACCUAUCUCACUUCCUUCGCUUCUCCCUAUUUCCAGACGCCCUCUUUUUUCUUUUAUACGGUUUUGGAUUUUGUAGGGAUUCGCCGUCUAUCUUUAUCGUGAUCACUGUCAUGUCAUAUCUGAAGAUCAGAUCGAAACGGAAGGCCCUGCCUCUGACUCAAUUUAAUAAGCUAAAAGCCAAUUAUCAUAGGAAGAGAGCAGAUCUUGAAGCCCAGUUUCAGAAGAAGUGUGAAAAACUUUAUGCUAUGAGGUCUGAGAUUGUGAAUGAUGUGUCCGAAGUCGAUGAGAAUGUUGCUCCCAGUUCUUGGCUCAGUUUGAUGAAGUCAUAGAAAGUAGUAAGAGAGAAGAUCACAAGGAGGGAUGAAGAUCCCCUCAAAUAUCUGAAAAAUAUCAAGUACUGCAGGAUUCCUAAGGGGUUCCAGCUUGAUUUCGAGUUUCAUGCUAAUAACUAUUUCGAAAAUGAUGUCCUUGCAAAAAUUUAUCACGUGACCGGUGAUGACAAACCAAAAGAUGUAAAAGCGACUGUUAUUCAUUGGACUGAGGGGAAGAAUGUGACAGAGGUAGUGAUGUGGAUGAAGCGAAAGUGUGGUACAAAUUCAGGGGUGAUGAUUGGCCUAGACCGUGGCAGUUUCUUCAAUUUCUUUAAAUCUCCACGAGACGCUGAGAAUGAGAAUGAUUGGGACGGGGCAGAUAAAGAAUUUGAGGAUAUAAUCCGUCAAGACUAUCUUGUUGGAACCGCCAUCCGGGACAUCAUCCUCUAUGAUGGAAAUGAUAUGGACGACACCAAACAGCCAUCAAAUCUAGAAAGUUGCAGAUUUUCUUGAAGCCUUAUCCAUCUUGUUGAAUGUUUGAAAUUUGUUCUCCUCUUUUUAAAGUUCCACCAUCUCUGGCAAUGUUGUGUCGUGGUUUGAUACGGAUGACACAAAACAACCAUCAAAUCUAGGAAGUUGCAGUGGAGCCCCAGCCAGCGAAGGACAGCAAGGGGGGAGUGACCUCUAGAGUGAAAGCUUUAGUGAGGUUGGUGUACCGGCAGCUGACUAAAUCGAGAAGGACAGCUUGGUGUACCGGCAGCUGAGUAAAUCGAGAAGAUCGUUUUUUGAAGUCUCGGAUCGUCUGAAAAAAUAAAUAUACUCCUACCUGUCCUUGAGAAUUUUAGGGGUGGUUUUAUUUUGUGGAUGUUAGGCGCAACUUGACGUUUUGUAGUGGAUUGAAUGAUUGGAUGUUUUGUUGGAGUUCUAGAAAUUACUAACAGCAUGUUUGUUUCCUC